GAAGGAGCCAAACCUGAAUAUCAUAAUGAUUUCUCCAGCACUAAAGGCCCGACAGAAAAGCAACAAAUCACAUCAGAGAACUAUGAUGAUGUAAUCACUGUUGGACUGAGACAUGCUACAGAUGACUUACCAGAAAACUAUGAUGAUGUCGUCAUCAUACAACAGUUCUCCAAUGAUAAAGCAG